AAUUUGUUGAGAAGAUUCAAUUACAGGUUGAAUAAUUUGUUGAGAAGAUUCAAUUACAGGUUG
rnacentral:tRNA from 1 species